UGAGGAAUAUUGGUCAAUGGACGCAAGUCUGAACCAGCCAUGCCGCGUGAAGGAUGAAGGCGUUCUGCGUUGUAAACUUCUUUUAUCUGGGAAGAAACCCGAGUUUUCUAAUUCGGCCGACGGUACCAGAGGAAUAAGCACCGGCUAACUCCGUGCCAGCAGCCGCGGUAAUACGGAGGGUGCAAGCGUUAUCCGGAUUUACUGGGUUUAAAGGGUGUGUAGGCGGACUAUUUAAGUCCGUGGUGAAAUCUCCGGGCUCAACCCGGAAACUGCCAUGGAUACUAUUAGUCUUGAAUGUUGUGGAGGUGGGCGGAACGGGUCAUGUAGCGGUGAAAUGCUUAGAGAUGACCCGGAACACCGAUUGCGAAGGCAGCCCACUACGCAACUAUUGACGCUGAGGCACAAAAGCGUGGGGAUCAAACAG
rnacentral:rRNA from 1 species